rnacentral:rRNA from 1 species
AAAGGAAUAGACGGGGGCCCGCACAAGCAGUGGAUUAUGUGGUUUAAUUCGAAGCAACGCGAAGAACCUUACCAGGACUUGACAUCCUCUGACGACUAUAGAGAUAUAGUUUCCCUUCGGGGCAGAGAGACAGGUGGUGCAUGGUUGUCGUCAGCUCGUGUCGUGAGAUGUUGGGUUAAGUCCCGCAACGAGCGCAACCCUUAUUGCCAGUUGCCAUCAUUUAGUUGGGAACUCUGGCGAGACUGCCGUGGACAACACGGAGGAAGGUGGGGACGACGUCAAAUCAUCAUGCCCCUUAUGUUCUGGGCUACACACGUAAUACAAUGGCAACGACAGAAGGCAGCUACCCCGCGAGGGCAAGCGAAUCCUAAAACGUUGUCUCAGUUCGGAUUGCAGGCUGCAACUCGCCUGCAUGAAGUCGGAAUUGCUAGUAAUGGCAGGUCAGCAUACUGCCGUGAAUACGUUCCCGGGCCUUGUACACACCGCCCGU